rnacentral:tRNA from 1 species
GAGGCAUUGGUGUAGCGGUAACACUGCAGUUUGUGGCACUGCCAACGAGGGUUCGAUUCCCUCAUGCCUCC